AACGCGAAGAACCUUACCUGGGCUAGAAUGCAGAAUGACCGAUCCUGAAAGGGGUUUUUGUAGCAAUACACAUUUUGUAAGGUGCUGCAUGGCUGUCGUCAGCUCGUGCCGUGAGGUGUUGGGUUAAGUCCCGCAACGAGCGCAACCCCCAUCACUAGUUGCCAUCAGGUCAAGCUGGGAACUCUAGUGAAACUGCCGUCGUAAGACGCGAGGAAGGAGGGGAUGAUGUCAAGUCAUCAUGGCCUUUAUGCCCAGGGCUACACACGUGCUACAAUGGGAGAGACAAAGGGCAGCUACCUAGCGAUAGGACGCUAAUCCCAAAAACUCUUUCUCAGUUCAGAUUGCAGUCUGCAACUCGACUGCAUGAAGCUGGAAUCGCUAGUAAUCGUAUAUCAGCAAUGAUACGGUGAAUACGUUCCCGGGCCUUGUACACACCGCUCGCGA
rnacentral:rRNA from 1 species